ensembl:lncRNA
AAAGAGGAAAGUGAGAGAGAGCGAGAUUGAGGAAGAGGAUGGAGAGUUUUGGCGUUGGCUGCCCAUUGGUGCCGGGGCGGGGGCGGGGGGGGGGGCCCUCUGGCCUGGAGGUGCGCACACCCCCUACCCCACUGGACAGUGCUGUGUCUGUGCCCGCUGUGCCCAGGCCUGAGCCCUGCCUGCCUGCCUCGGAACCCCCACCCAGCGCAGGACUCUCUGGCCGUGACAUGAGGAGUGUGCCCAGCAGGCCUGGGAAGACAUGGUGAUCUUUCAGCAAGGGAUGAUGGCGGGCCUCCAGGCCGUUUCUGAGGGCUGCCUGGUCACACCCACCAAUGCCAGGCCCGGCCGUUAGCUGGUAACCAGGCUCUGCUGGGCUGCGACGGUGCCACCCAGCACUUGUCCUGGGCCCCACCACCCUGACAGCAGCUUUCCUGCCCAGAGAGGAUGAGGGACCCAGCCGGGUAACAGAGACUCAGCCUGGAGCAGAACCUGCAGGGCCUCUCCUCUGAGCAGCUCCUGGAUCACACAGCACCUGCAUGCCACCCCACCCUGGGGUCACCAGCCAGCCUUGCUGCUCCAGUGUUUUGAGUAAUGGGAAUAAAGCGGGCAUGAUCAUUGAGACCAACCUCAAAUAAGAAAGUGAGAGAACAAAUUUGCCAGUGCCAGGAAAGAAAGCAAAAGUUUUCUUUAGGAGGAGCCCCUUUUUCUUUCUUUUUUUUCUCCUGUAGGAUACUGGGGAUUGAACUGAUGCUCUUUGCACUGAGCCCCCACCCACCCCCUUUUUUGAGACAGAGACUCUCUGCGUAGCCCAGCCUGGCCUUGAAUUUGCUGUGAUCCUCCUGCCUCAGCCUCCUGAGUGCUGGGAUUACAGAUACGCA